UUCCGUAGGUGAACCUGCGGAAGGAUCAUUACCGAGUGCGGGCCCCUCGUGGCCCAACCUCCCACCCUUGUCUCUAUACACCUGUUGCUUUGGCGGGCCCACCGGGGCCACCUGGUCGCCGGGGGACGUUCGUCCCCGGGCCCGCGCCCGCCGAAGCGCUCUGUGAACCCUGAUGAAGAUGGGCUGUCUGAGUACUAUGAAAAUUGUCAAAACUUUCAACAAUGGAUCUCUUGGUUCCGGCAUCGAUGAAGAACGCAGCGAAAUGCGAUAAGUAAUGUGAAUUGCAGAAUUCCGUGAAUCAUCGAAUCUUUGAACGCACAUUGCGCCCCCUGGCAUUCCGGGGGGCAUGCCUGUCCGAGCGUCACCUCUGCCCUCAAGCACGGCUUGUGUGUUGGGUGCGGUCCCCCCGGGGGCCUGCCCGAAAGGCAGCGGCGACGUCCGUCUGGUCCUCGAGCGUAUGGGGCUUUGUCACUCGCUCGGGAAGGACUGGCGGGGGUUGGUCACCACCACAAAAUUUUACCACGGUUACCCUCGGAUCAGGUAGGAGUUACCCGCUGAACUUAAGCAUAUCAAUAAGCGGAGGAAAAGAAACCAACCGGGAUUGCCUCAGUAACGGCGAGUGAAGCGGCAAGAGCUCAAAUUUGAAAUCUGGCCCCCUCGGGGUCCGAGCU
rnacentral:rRNA from 1 species